rnacentral:rRNA from 1 species
GACGAACGCUGGCGGCGUGCUUAACACAUGCAAGUCGAACGGAAAGGCCCUGCUUUUGUGGGGUGCUCGAGUGGCGAACGGGUGAGUAACACGUGAGUAACCUGCCCUUGACUUUGGGAUAACUUCAGGAAACUGGGGCUAAUACCGGAUAGGAGCUCCUGCUGCAUGGUGGGGGUUGGAAAGUUUCGGCGGUUGGGGAUGGACUCGCGGCUUAUCAACUUGUUGGUGGGGUAGUGGCUUACCAAGGCUUUGACGGGUAGCCGGCCUGAGAGGGUGACCGGCCACAUUGGGACUGAGAUACGGCCCAGACUCCCACGGGAGGCAGCAGUGGGGAAUAUUGCACAAUGGGCGGAAGCCUGAUGCAGCAACGCCGCGUGCGGGAUGACGGCCUUCGGGUUGUAAACCGCUUUCGCCUGUGACGAAGCGUGAGUGACGGUAAUGGGUAAAGAAGCACCGGCUAACUACGUG